UCCAGGUCCCAUGGUCCUCUCCACCAAUCGGAAGGCUCGGAGGGCCACUGGCCCGGGAGAGGGACUUAGCGCGCGGAGGACCGGGUGCGGAGGACCGGGUGCGGAGGACCGGGUGCGGAGGACCGGGUGCGGAGGACCGGGUGCGGAGGACCGGAAGAGUUCUGCUACGAGGGUCUCACCCACGACACGGUGGCUGGCUGCGGUUUCGCGUCCGGGUCUCAACCCCUGGGUGCUUCGCCGCUUUGCAGCGGCUCCUCCACCUGCUGCUCGCAGAGGCUUGAAGGGCGCCUCCGCACUUAAGCCUUGAUGGAGUAGGAAGCACAGGAAAUCCAUUUCUCUACCUAGACAACAAUUGCACUGGCAGAAACUGUCCGAAAUAACUAUUUUGGAACUCUGGAGUCCACUUGAAUUCUUGCAUCUUCCAAGGGAAAGUUUGGUUGGUAAAUUGAGGUUAAUUUCAGUCAAUGUCAGACUUUAGUGUAAUAGCACCUCCCUGUUUCCUACCCCUCAACCCUGUGGCAGGCAGCCAUGUUCACAUUCCUGGUGUGGCUUGCUGGAGCCGUGGUGGGAAAUAAGAAUCUUGUUCGCCAAA